rnacentral:rRNA from 1 species
CCUACGGGUGGCAGCAGUGAGGAAUAUUGGUCAAUGGACGAGAGUCUGAACCAGCCAAGUCGCGUGAAGGAUGACUGCCCUAUGGGUUGUAAACUUCUUUUAUAUGGGAAUAAAAUGUUCCACGUGUGGUCUUUUGUAUGUACCAUAUGAAUAAGGAUCGGCUAACUCCGUGCCAGCCGCCGCGGUAAUACGGAGGAUCCGAGCGUUAUCCGGAUUUAUUGGGUUUAAAGGGUGCGUAGGGGGACUGUUAAGUCCGCGGUGAAAGUUUGCGGCUCAACCGUAGAAUUGCCGUUGAAACUGGCAGGCUUGAGUACGGUAGAGGCGGGCGGAAUGCGUGGUGUAGCGGUGAAAUGCAUAGAUAUCACGCAGAACCCCGAUUGCGAAGGCAGCCUACUGGACCGCAACUGACACUGAGGCACGAAAGCGUGGGGAUCAAACAGGAUUAGAUACCCGAGUAGUC